GGGAUUGUGGCUCAGUGGUAGAGCACUCGCCUUGCAUGUGCAAGACCCUGGGUUCAAAUCUCAGCAUCACA
rfam:Ictidomys tridecemlineatus contig083688, whole genome shotgun sequence.